rnacentral:lncRNA from 1 species
UGUAAAACAUCUAGGUUCAGCAAGGGGAAAGUAGCAGGCUGGACGCAGACUGUGGAGCCAGCGGCAGGCGUCGAAAGACUACUGGUCCCUCGGCUAGGGCCCUCUGGGAGAAAGGGGCGCGGGGCACGCCCAGAGGCCGCCUGCCAACGCCAGAUCAGCUCCUGGCUCGAGAGGCCGAUUCCGCUGCAGGCCCCCUCACAAUGUGGCCUGAGAUCGGAAUGGUCCCUGCUGGACAGUUCCGAACUCUUAAUCUUUCCCGGAGGACGCUUUCUGAUUACUGACUCCAUGUGUCCUAAGAGAGGCCGCUUCCAGGAGACGAACAGAGGUUGAGAUCUGGCCAUGCCAUACGGCUGGAACUGUAGGGAAGAAGGGAAACCCUGAUAUUUACAAGGAAGCAUCUAUGCCCUUCAGUACCACAUCAAGGAUUGUUAACCAGAGACACACGGUUGUGACACUGUUUUCUUGAAUGAAGCAAAUAGCACUUGGCUAAUUGGUCUGGGUUAUGCGGACAGGUCAUUCCCUGAAAGGGUAAGUUUCUGGAACCAUUCUAAAGUCACCACUGGUCUCCCCUCAGCUCUUCCAUAAUGCUCACAGCCUGUCUCCUGCUAACCUGACACAGCACCAUUGUGGGUUGGUAUUUUUACCCCU